rnacentral:rRNA from 1 species
UACGUAGGUGGCUAGCGUUGUCCGGAUUUACUGGGCGUAAAGAGCGCGCAGGCGGUCGUUCAAGUCGAGUGUGAAAGCCCCCGGCUCAACUGGGGAGGGUCACUCGAUACUGAUCGACUCGAAGGCAGGAGAGGGAAGCGGAAUUCCCGGUGUAGUGGUGAAAUGCGUAGAUUAUCGGGAGGAACACCAGUGGCGAAGGCGGCUUUCUGGCCUGCUCUUGACGCUGAGGCGCGAAAGCUAGGGUAGCAAAGGG